CGGAUAGUGUUCAGCUACUUGUUUGAAUUCUUCAAGACGCAAGGUUUUUAAUAAAAUUUUUGUACAUUGUUACUUUUCGAUUUUUCUCAUGCUAAACAUUCUCUAUGGUAUUGUUUUUUCAUUUACUUCAUGCUACACAUUUCCACCUUUCUUUUCCGAAUAAGAGGAAAAUGGGUGCCACCAAGGCUGUUUUCCGAAGAAAAUUUGUGUCAAACUCAUAUGGCUUGUAUGUAGCGUAAAAUAAGCCAGUUGUCAUUUUCUUCCCACGACACGGGAUGGCAUUAGUGGAGGAAUUCUAGAUUGCUCACCAGUGAUCAUUUGUCUUCGUUGUAGAAGAGUUUUCUUAGUUAUUGAUUUAAUCAAUACUGUUUUUCGAUUGUUAAGCCAUGUCUGUAGCUGCUCUGCAAGAACUCUGCCUCCAUCUGAAGGGCCAAGGCGUUUGGUUAUGGAGUACCUUUGCAAAAAAUUGCAAUUACCUCCACAUCAUCAUUAAUGAAAAUUGAAAUAAUUGAGAGGAGAAGCAAUUUGCUAAAGGUGGAAGGAAAAGCCACUAAGCUGUAGUCAAAAAGUCGCUAAGGAGUUCAUUUUUAGGACACAGGCAGAGAGUACAAGCAGUUGUCAGAAUAGAAGAGCGUUUAGCCCUUCAUUGUGUCUUGACUGCUGGUAACUCAGAGCAGGAGGGAGAAAGUGAUACGCGCUAGGCAUGAAUGGUUGCUAUGGAGAUGAAACAGCUGAUGGAGUUAGGGUUCUCCCAUGAUGUGACGUCACGAGCGAGGGCGAAACAGAGACGUAACGUUUCGUAUGGAGAAGAAAUAGCUGAUGGAGUGAAGCGUGAUCAAGGCCUUCUUGAUGGGAGAAGGCCGAAUCCAAAGGGGUUCUCUCCUUAUGUGACGUCACGAGUGAGGGCAAUCGUACUAAG